rnacentral:rRNA from 1 species
UACAGAGGUCUCAAGCGUUGUUCGGAUUCAUUGGGCGUAAAGGGUGCGUAGGCGGCGCGGUAAGUCGGGUGUGAAAUCUCAGAGCUCAACUCUGAAACUGCACUCGAUACUGCUUUGCUUGAGGACUGGAGAGGAGAUUGGAAUUCACGGUGUAGCAGUGAAAUGCGUAGAUAUCGUGAGGAAGACCAGUGGCGAAGGCGGAUCUCUGGACAGUUCCUGACGCUGAGGCGCGAAGGCCAGGGGAGCAAACGGG